rnacentral:rRNA from 1 species
GACGAACGCUGGCGGCGUGCCUAAUACAUGCAAGUUGAGCGAUGAAGCUUGGUGCUUGCACCAAUUUGAAGAGCAGCGAACGGGUGAGUAACGCGUGGGGAAUCUGCCUUUGAGCGGGGGACAACAUUUGGAAACGAAUGCUAAUACCGCAUAACAACUUUAAACAUAAGUUUUAAGUUUGAAAGAUGCAAUUGCAUCACUCAAAGAUGAUCCCGCGUUGUAUUAGCUAGUUGGUGAGGUAAAGGCUCACCAAGGCGAUGAUACAUAGCCGACCUGAGAGGGGGAUCGGCCAAAUUGGGACUGAGACACGGCCCAAACUACUACGGGAGGCAGCAGGAGGGAAUCUUCGGCAAUGGACGAAAGUCUGGCCGAGCAACGCCGCGUGAGUGAAGAAGGUUUUCGGAUCGUAAAACUCUGUUGGUAGAGGAGAACGUUGGUGAGAGUGGAAAGCUCAUCAAGUGACGGUAACUACACAGAAAGGGACGGCUAACUACGUG